rnacentral:misc_RNA from 1 species
GAUGAAGAACGUAGCGAAAUGCGAUACUUGGUGUGAAUUGCAGAAUCCCGUGAACCAUCGAGUCUUUGAACGCAAGUUGCGCCCGAAGCCACUAGGCCGAGGGCACGCCUGCCUGGGCGUCACACGCCGUUGCCCCCCCAUCUACUCCUUCGGGAUUGCGGGGGGGCGGAUGAUGGCCUCCCGUGCGCCUAGCCGCGCGGUUGGCAUAAAUACCAAGUCCUCGGCGACGCACGCCACGACAAUCGGUGGUUGCGAAACCUCGGUUGCCCGUCGUGUGCGUUCGUCGCGCAUGGAGGGCUCAAAAAAAUGCUCGGCUCCGGCUGGGCUUUCAACGCGACCCCAGGUCAGGCGGGGUUACCCGCUGAAUUUAAGCAUAUCAAUAAGCGGAGGA